rnacentral:rRNA from 1 species
UACGUAGGGGGCUAGCGUUGUCCGGAUUUAUUGGGCGUAAAGAGCGUGUAGGCGGCCAGGUAGGUCUGCUGUGAAAUCCCGAGGCUCAACCUCGGGCCUGCAGUGGGUACGGGCAGACUGGAGUGCGGUAGGGGAGAAUGGAAUUCCUGGUGUAGCGGUGGAAUGCGCAGAUAUCAGGAGGAACACCGAUGGCGAAGGCAGUUCUCUGGGCCGUAACUGACGCUGAGGAGCGAAAGCGUGGGGAGCGAACAGG